AACACUACAUAAGGCGAGGGUGUUCGGCAGUAUUAACACUUGGUAACAACAUAGCUAUUGCAACAGCAUUUAACACAGUGUUUUCUAUUAAGGCUUCCUCCUUCCUUCCUUCUUCAGUUGAAAGUACUCUUGAAAUUGUGGAACUUACACGUUACACUUACAUUGGCAUACGCCAGGCACAGAUCAGGCAGGCACUAUGCAAGUUUGCCACACGUGAAGCGCCCAGGAUCAGGAUCAGCUAGUCCCAGGAUGGGAUAUAAAGGUGGCAUAUUCCCAUCUUUGCCUACCCUGCUUGGAUUUUCUGCUAUAGCUUUGCAGAACCUCUGGAUUGGGCCCUGUGAAUCACUGUAAUUCCAGCCCAGUGGCCCUGUCUAUAUUACAAAAACUCUAUACACUAUAAAGAUGCUUGACAAAGCAUGUCAAGCAUCUUUGUUCACAGUAGCCUGGGCCUUGUCCUUAGACAGGAAACCUGUGUUUGCUUGUAAUAUUUGAUAAUCUCUCAUAUUACUGAGCACACAAGGGAUUUUUAGAUGAACAGUAUUUAAACAUGAAUAAUUAAAAUCGGAGUUAAAUGAAGAUAUUGUACAGCGCGGUGCAGUGUAAACACACUGACUCCCUGGGCUCCAUUCAGAUAUAUUCGUUACUAUGCCGCUUUGGAUCCAGAAAGGGAAAAGCUUUCACUGUCAUUACUAACUACAUCUGAUUAAAUGUGAUUAUGCUUUUGACAAAUUUUCUUGUGUCAGGCACUAAAUUAAGAGGGAGGUGGGGGAGAGAGAUUUUUCCAGUUACGAUCGAUAUUAUUCUGAUAAAGUCCUUCUCAAUUCAGAAAAGUUGUUCUCUGCUUAGGUUAAUCUGCUUAAUAAAUGGCAUAGGGUGUUCUCAGCUCAGGAAUUAUAGCACAAAGCAGGUGGAGCAACCUUAGAAUCUAAGCUGCAAAGAUCUAGUCAAAUAUAUUGCUUGAUCCCAAUGUGAGGUACAAUUGAUAGCCACAGGACAGAGACUAGCAGAAGUGGAGCAAGGCAGGGAGUCAGCCUUCUGGGUCGGUGUAUGACAAUUCAGUUCAGGAAGAAGGCUGAUGGAAUGCUUCUACUCUCAAUGAAUUUUUCUUAGCUUUAAGACCACAGUCCUAGAUCCCCUGACUACAAAAGAUCUGCCAAAAAUCUAUAAGUAUCUGACAACUUGGUUUCUUCUGGCACUUCUGGUGAAAAAGUUGGGGGCGGGGUGGGGGUGAGAGAAAGAGAGAGAGGAAGAAGAAGAGAAAGAUUGUUUUAAUUUUGACCUCCUGCAAGUCACUUCAUUAACCCUGAUUCUGCUUGACCCUUUUACAGCCCAACUGUUUAUUUUCUUCAUGAAACUAAAACCAGAUCGAUCAACUCUUCCUCAAAGCCCUGGCUUCCAGUCACAGGCCUGCUGCUAACAACAGACCUGAUGCAAAUUGAAUCUCUGGGAAACAGGAUCUUCAGAUGAGUCAAACAUUUCUGGGGAAUGGCGAGCAAAGCUUUCCAAGGGUGCAUGUGCUGAAUUCAUUAAAAGAUUUUCCUUUCCAACCUGGCUCUCCACUGUAUUUCACAGUCCAAGUAGACCCAUGGUGUCCAGCAAUAAGCCAAAGGGCCUCAUCCAGUAAGGUGCUGAGCAUCCUCGACUCCCACGGAAUGAGUUUGCUCCACAGCACUUGGCAGGAUCAUACCAAGUGCUUAGAUGUGGCAAGUAUCAAUAACUGUGAUGUGCAUAUAUAUGUAACCCUUCUGCCAGGGGAGUCAGCAGCAACAAGGGUGGGUUGAAUAUCUAUGGGGGUUCCUCUUAACAAAACAAAACAGACCUGGUUCGAGUCCCCCGCCAGGAAUCUGGGAAAACUAAACACCACCCUGAGGUGCCUCGAAGAGGCAAUACUUCCCCUCUCACAAGCACUGAGUCUGUAUAAUAAAGGGAAAGAGAACUCAGCAUUAAGUUGGAAAAGCACCACAACCACUUUCAAAAACAUGUGACUAUACACAAACACCCACCCCUCAGUACGUUGAGCAGUGUCUUGCAGUGUGAAAGUCUGAACAAAUGUCCUUUUAACACCCCUCUUCCCCUUCCCUCCGCUGCACCCCACUCAAAAUUGGUCCUCCUUGGACAGCGAAGACCCAGAGUUCAGAGGUGCAUACACAUGGGUCCACCUUCCACCCCUGAGCGGGGCCAGGAGGGGAGGAUGUUGAGCAAUACCUCCCACCUCUGCAACUGACUCACUGCCACUGUUAUCUCUGCCACUGCUGGCCGCUCACUGCCAGGGCCAGCUCUGGGA